rnacentral:tRNA from 1 species
CGGAGCGUGGCGCAGUCUGGUAGCGCACCUGCUUUGGGAGCAGGGGGUCGAAGGUUCAAAUCCUUUCGCUCCGACCA